ensembl:snoRNA predicted gene, 23823
UCUUCCUUCCCUAGAGUGUUACAGGUGUGGCUGCUGUGUCACAUGUGCAUCAGUAGGUGGCAGAGAGGACAGAGGCUAUGUUCUGAUCUGUGAACAUCUGAAUGGAUGAUUAGUAGCCUAGCAUU